rnacentral:rRNA from 1 species
GAUGAACGCUAGCGAUAGGCCUAACACAUGCAAGUCGAGGGGCAUCACAUGAGGUAGCAAUACUGAUGGUGGCGACCGGCGCACGGGUGAGUAACACGUAUGCAACCUACCUUCCACACGGGGAUAACCCGGAGAAAUCCGGACUAAUACCCGAUAAUACAGGGGUCCCGCAUGGGAAUAUUUGUUAAAGAUUUAUUGGUAGAAGAUGGGCAUGCGUUCCAUUAGUUAGUUGGUGAGGUAACGGCUCACCAAGGCGACGAUGGAUAGGGGAACUGAGAGGUUUAUCCCCCACACUGGAACUGAGACACGGUCCAGACUCCUACGGGAGGCAGCAGUGAGGAAUAUUGGUCAAUGGAGGCAACUCUGAACCAGCCAAGUCGCGUGAAGGAUGAAGGUCUUAUGGAUUGUAAACUUCUUUUAUACAGGAAUAAAUUGAGUCACGUGUGGCUUUUUGCAUGUACUGUAUGAAUAAGGAUCGGCUAACUCCGUGCCAGCA